rnacentral:rRNA from 1 species
AUCGAACGCUGGCGGCAGGCCUAACACAUGCAAGUCGAACGAGUGGCGGACGGGUGAGUAAUGUCUGGGAAACUGGCUGAUGGAGGGGGAUAACUACUGGAACAGGUAGCUAAUAGUGCAUACCGUGAGAUCGGCCCAGAUGGGAUUAGCUAGUUGGUGGGGUAACGGCUCACCGAGGCGACGAUGCCUAGCUGGUCUGAGAGGAUGAUCAGCCACACUGGGACUGAGACACGGUCCAGACUCCUACGGGAGGCAGCAGUAGGGAAUAUUCGGCAAUGGACGCAAGCCUGAUGGAGCAAUGCCGCGUGAGUGAAGAAGGCUUUCGGAUCGUAAAGCUCUGUUGUUGGGGAAGCGGUACCUACACAGAAAGCACCGGCUAACUCCGUGCCAGCAGCCGCGGUAAUUC